CAGCCGUAAACGAUGCGCGUUAGGUGUAUCGACGACCACGAGUCGUCGAGGUGCCGAAGGGAAACCGUGAAACGUGCCGCCUGGGAAGUACGGUCGCAAGGCUGAAACUUAAAGGAAUUGGCGGGGGAGCACCACAACAGGUGGAGCCUGCGGUUUAAUUGGACUCAACGCCGGGAAGCUCACCGGAUAGGACAGCAGAAUGAUUGCCGGGCUGAAGACUCUGCAUGACUAGCUGAGAGGAGGUGCAUGGCGUAGACGUCU
rnacentral:rRNA from 1 species